AUCGCUUCUCGGCCUAAUGGCUAAGAUCAAGUGUAGUAUCUGUUCUUAGUUUUUAAGCAAAGAGACUGUCCGUAACCCGGCUAUUGGUUAUUCCAAUUUAAAAGCCGAUUGGAGAGCCGAGACUCGAUCGUCCAAGAAGAAGAUUCUCCAAAAACAAAAUUUCACCAAACUUGCACCACAA
rnacentral:snRNA from 1 species